rnacentral:rRNA from 1 species
AUUGAACGCUGGCGGCAGGCUUAACACAUGCAAGUCGAGCGAGCGGCGGACGGGUGAGUAAUGUCUGGGAAACUGCCUGAUGGAGGGGGAUAACUACUGGAAACGGUUGCUAAUACCGCAUACCAUCAGAUGUGCCCAGAUGGGAUUAGCUAGUAGGUGGGGUAAAGGCUCACCAAGGAGACGAUCCCUAGCUGGUCUGAGAGGAUGACCAGCAACACUGGCACUUAGACACGGUCCAGACUCCUACGGGAGGCAGCAGUGGGGAAUAUUGCACAAUGGGAGCAAUCCUGAUGCAGCCAUGCCGCGUGUAUGAAGAAGGCCUUCGGGUUGUAAAGUACUUUCAGCGGGGAGGCGUUACCCGCAGAAGAAGCACCGGCUAACUCCGUGCCAGCGGCCGCGGUAAUUC